AAAUAUUCCUAGACAAGGUCAGACGGAAGUGGAAGGUACUGGAGCUGUUGUUUCUCUGCAUGUGGUGAAGGAGUAUUUUGUGGAUCCAAAGUAGACAGGGCAUAAGCAGAAAAUGCAGGUGACCCCAGCAGCCGCUGAGCCGGCCUGGAUUCGGGCAAAGAAAGCAGCGUCCUCCUGGUGCAAACAGACACAGCCACAAGUGCAGGACACGCAGUCUAGAAAGUCCGGAAGAUGCUGUACUUCAGAUUCUAGAAUUAGGAGAAUUUGACCAGCUUAAUAAGUGUCCAAAUAAGUGAUUUCUACUCCCACUUCCUUAACAUGCAAUUGCCGAAUAAACAAACCCACAAAGGCAAGGCAGCAAUGUGUAUUCUGAAACCAGGUUUUUAAGGCCUGAUUUGGAGUUGUCUUCCUAUUGGACCCCAGCUCUUGGGUUCAAAGUCGACGAUCAUUUGUACGAAUGCCAUGGUAUAUUUAAGUGAGUGGUUACAGCUGUUUCAGUUUCUUCCUCGCCAGUGUUUGGGGAUCGGUGAGUGGGCCAAGCCAGGACUCACCCCCUGCAAGUUCACAGAGGCCUCAAACUCUGACAAGCAGAAGUUUCCAUCUUAAAGACUGACAGGUAUACCUAGAGAUUGAAAAUUAACAUCCAGAAUAUUGCUUUCCCAAACAUUAUAUGUUUAUUUAAGACUCUGAAUGCUAUGUUGGCUCUAGCCUUGAAUCUCUGCACAUUUCAAGGGAUUCUGUACUUCUUGAUUACUAAAACAUAUGGAAAUUGUACAAAUCCAGCAUGAAAGGCAUUCUUUUUCUUUUUAAAGGGACUGCUUCUAUAUUCCACAUUUCAAAAACCUCAUCUGGGUUAGAAAUGUAGGUAUGUCCUUCACUGAUGAGGUUUGGAAACAUUUUGAAAUCUCAUUUUUAAACAAUAAAGAAAUAUUUUUACGACACUUUAAAAAGUUUUAAUUCUAAUUGUUCAUUAUGUCACUAAUGUGUCAUUCGCUUGGCUAUAGUAGUUGGAUUUUUCUGAAACGUUUUGGUAUAUUAUUUUCUUCACAUUUGUGACUUCAACAUAGUAAC
rnacentral:lncRNA from 1 species